GGCCAGCAACUAGGGAACGCCCCAUGUAUUUGCUCUUAAGGACUUGGAAAUUCCAAAGAUGGGUAGGUAGUUUCUCUUUUCCCCUUGAAUUCGAUUAGUUCGAAAUCUCGGGUAAAAUUUGAUAGUCGCUGCCGGAAGAGAGAGACCUGAGAGAGAUUGAAGAUCGCAGUUGGGAAGUUGAAGUUGGUAAGCAAUUUGAGGAGG
rnacentral:misc_RNA from 1 species